AGCGAACGCUGGCGGCAGGCCUAACACAUGCAAGUCGAACGGACCCUUCGGGGUUAGUGGCGGACGGGUGAGUAACACGUGGGAACGUGCCUUUAGGUUCGGAAUAGCUCCUGGAAACGGGUGGUAAUGCCGAAUGUGCCCUUCGGGGGAAGGAUUUAUCGCCUUUAGAGCGGCCGGCGUCUGUUUAGCUGGUUGGGGAGGUAAUGGCUCACCAAGGCGACGAUCAGUAGCUGGUCUGAGGGGAUAACCAGCCACAUUGGGACUGAGACACGGCCCAAACUCCUACGGGAGGCAGCAGUGGGGAAUCUUGCGCAAUGGGCGAAAGCCUGACGCAGCCAUGCCGCGUGGAUGAUGAAGGUCUUAGGAUUGUAAAAUCCUUUCACCGGUGAAGAUAAUGACUGUAGCCGGAGAAGAAGCCCCGGCUAACUUCGUGCCAGCAGCCGCCGUAAUAC
rnacentral:rRNA from 1 species